rnacentral:rRNA from 1 species
GACGAACGCUGGCGGCGUGCUUAACACAUGCAAGUCGAACGGAAAGGCCCUGCUUUUGUUGGUUGCUCGAGUGGCGAACGGGUGAGUAACACGUGAGUAACCUGCCCUUGUCUUUGGGAUAACUUCAGGAAACUGGGGCUAAUACCGGAUAGGAGCUCCUGCUGCAUGGUGUGGGUUGGAAAGUUUCGGCGGUUGUGGAUGGACUCGCGGCUUAUCAGCUUGUUGGUGGGGUAGUGGCUUACCAAGGCUUUGACGGGUAGCCGGCCUGAGAGGGUGACCGGGCACAUUGGGACUGCGAUAGGCACCAGACGCCUACGGGAGGCAGCAGUCGAGAAUAUUGCACAAUGGGCGGAAGCCUGAUGUAGCGACGCCGCGUGCGGGAUGACGUCCUUCGGGUUGUAAACCGCUGUCGACUGUGACGAAGCGUGAGUGACGGUAAUGGGUAAAGAAGCACCGGCUAACUACGUG